rnacentral:misc_RNA from 1 species
GAAAUGCGAUAAGUAGUGUGAAUUGCAGAAUUCAGUGAAUCAUCGAAUCUUUGAACGCACAUUGCGCCCCUUGGUAUUCCAUGGGGCAUGCCUGUUCGAGCGUCAUUUGUACCCUCAAGCUCUGCUUGGUGUUGGGUGUUUGUCCCGUCUCCGCGCGUGGACUCGCCCCAAAGUGAUUGGCAGCCGGCGUACUGGUCCCGGAGCGCAGCACAUGUCGCGCAAACGAGUGCCUUGGUACGGCGGCGUCCAUAAGCCCCUCUCUCACGCUCUUGACCUUGGAUCAGGUAGGGAUACCCGCUGAACUUAAGC